GUCCCUGUAGCGCAAUGGAUAGCGCGUUGGACUUCCAGAUUCAAAGGUUGUGGGUUGGAAUCCCACCUGGGAUG